AAUAAAUACACAGAUUUAUUAUUUGUAUACUAAUUCCUACACUGACACAUUAAACUGUAUGUUUUUUUAUUUAAAAUGUUUGUUUUAACAAUUAAUUUAAUAGCCGCAAUGCUUACGAGUCUAAUGUAAUGGUACUUUGUGGGACGAAAUGGAGACUACAAACACAUGAAAAUCUAGUAUGACUUCUCUAAAAAUCUCAAAGGGUUCACAGAGCAGCACUAUCAGUUAAUAAAGAAAUGUGGCUCUGUAGUGGACACCUGUGAGGCAGUGGACAGACAGCUGCUGAUGUCUGAUGCUGGCUGACAAUAAACAGACCUCUCUGGAC